GUCCACGCCCUAAACGAUGAAUACUCGAUGUUGGCGAUAUACAGUCAGCGUCUAAGGGAAACCGUUAAGUAUUCCACCUGGGGAGUACGUCCGCAAGGAUGAAACUAAAAGAAAUUGGCGGAGGUCCGCACAAGCGGUGGAUUAUGUGGUUUAAUUCGAUGAUACGCGAGGAACCUUACCAGGGCUAGAAUGUAAUUGGAAUAUAGAGGAAACUUUAUAGCUAGCAAUAGCCGGUUACAAGGUGCUGCAUGGUUGUCGU
rnacentral:rRNA from 1 species